UCCUGGAUGGACCGUGAACGCACCCCGCCCCUCUCCUCUUCUCUCACGCUGUCAUUUUAAACAACAGAACAGAAGAUGACCACUGACUGAGAGUUGAAACCACAUCGAGCUGCAGAGUCUAAUAUGCUGCUGCAGAGUGUUUCUUUUUUUUGCAACCUUUAAAUGAUGUGAGGAAAAUGUGGGAACAAGUCGUUAUCUCCACGACAACGUGACAGGGUUUGAAGCAGCUGGAACAAAGCAAACACACAGACAUCAGCUCAGAACACCAAAGAAGCACAUGGCUUCGGCACGCGUCGACUGUUGCCUACCGGCGACUCUGCCGCGCUGUGAUUGGCUGAAUCUAGGUCACUCGCUGGAGCUCUCCGCCUCCCAUUGGUUAAAAAUAGGUCAAAGUCUCCGCCCACAGUUUCCCCAAUGCUAUGGCCGCGUGACAUGCCGGCUGUCAGGGGGGAAACACAAAGGAGGGAGGAGGUGGGGGAGUUAUUGUGUGGAUUAGUGUUUCACUUCUGAGGGAGAGAGGAGAGAUCACAUCAGUUUUUUGUGUCUGUGUGAACAAUAAUACUGAAGGAGAGAAAAUAUGAGACAUUUCAAUUUACUACAUGUUAAAAAAUAUAUAUUAAUAACUGUCUUUAUGCCUGUUUACUGCUAGAAUAUAGACAUACGCUGCUUUUAAUUGACAUGUAAGACUGAUUUAAUUAAAAUGAGUGACCUGA